AAUAGCCUAACGGCUGAACCAGCAACUUGGAGGAAUGUAUAGCGAAAGCUGGUUGCGUUAAUUAGUAAUGCAACAAUGACUAUGUCAUAUAAAAUUCUAGGUAUAAUUAUGAUAAUGACAUUGUAUACCUAUGUGUCUUGACCAAUUCACGUGCCAGCAGUCGCGGCAACACGUGUAAGACUAGUGUUAUUCAUCUUUAGCAGGUUUAAAGGGUACCUAGACAGUUAAUCAAGCCUGAGUAAGGGACUAAUAUAACUAGAGUUUUACAGGAGAGGGGGAGUACGAAUAGUGUAGUGAUGAAAUACUAUGAUACUAAAUGGGACAGGUAACGGCGAAAGCAACCUUUUAUGUAAAAACUGACGUUGAGGGACGAAGGCUAAGGACACCAACAGGAUUAGAUACCCCAGCAGUCUUAGCAGACAAUUAUGAAUGUCAUAUAUAAGUAGAUAAUAUUUGUGUAUAAAUGAAAGUGUAAGCAUUCCACCUCAAGAGUAAUGUGGCAACGCAGAAACUGAAAUCAUUAGACCGUUUCUGAAACCAGUAGUGAAGUAUGUUGUUUAAUUUGAUGAUCCGCAAAGAACCUCACCACAAUUUGAAUAUUUAUAUAUAUAAUCGUAUAUUUUUACAAGCGUUGCACGGCUGUCUUCAGUUAAUGUCGUGAGACUUUGGUUAGUUCCAUUAAAUUAACGUAAACCCUUACUUUAUUUUUUACAUAAAGUAGUUCCCCGCUAUAUUGGAAAUGAUAUAAGGGACUAAGACAAGUCAUCAUGGCCUUAAUAUUGUGGGCUACAGACGUGCCACAUGAGCCUUAACAAAGAGAUGCAAAAUUGUGAAAUUUAGCUAAUCUCCUAAAAUAGGAUAUAAAAU
rnacentral:rRNA from 1 species